AGACUGUCGCAGCAAUAGAAAUGUUAUUGCGUUAACAUAAACUCCGAGAAUCGCUAGGACUUUGCCGGCGGCGCGGCGAAAAUCGCGCCGCGUUUCUCAAUACGAACGCGAAAAUCGAUUCUUGCGCGCGACCGUUGGUUAGGCACCGUGUUCACGUCUAUACGAACGCGUACGGUGUACGAGAGCGCGUGAUUAAGUGUCCCGCGUAAUUAUU